rnacentral:rRNA from 1 species
AUUAACGCUGGCGGCGUGCAUGAGACAUGCAAGUCGAACGGACGGGCGAGCUUGCUCGCCCGUUAGUGGCGGACGGCUGAGUAACGCGUGGGUGACCUGCCCCGAAGUGGGGAAUAACUGCCCGAAAGGGUGGCUAAUACCGCACGUGGUGACUGGUUCGUUCCAGUCUCCAAAGCCGCAAGGCGCUUCGGGAGGGGCCUGCGUCCGAUUAGCUCGUUGGUGGGGUAACGGCUCACCAAGGCGACGAUCGGUAGGUG